rnacentral:rRNA from 1 species
UACAGAGAUCUCAAGCGUUAUCCGGAGUUACUGGGCGUAAAGGGCGUGCAGGCGGUCUGAUAAGUUCGGCGUGAAAUAUUCCGGCUUAACCGGGAUAGGUCGUCGGAGACUGUCGGACUAGAGGGUGAUAGAGGCGUGUGGAAUUCCCGGUGUAGCGGUGAAAUGCGCAGAUAUCGGGAGGAACACCGGUGGCGAAGGCGGUUCUCUGGGCCUUACCUGACGCUGAGGAGCGAAAGCGUGGGGAGCGAACAGG